ACUCCACAACUGUUAAUUGUAGAGUGCCCAGACAAGGAUAUUAAUCAAAGGAGGGAAGAUUGUUAAUGAUGAUUUAAUGUUUGAUGGAGAUGUCUACCUGGAAGAUGGAAUUAUCAAACAAGUUGGAAAAGAUCUUAUCAUUCCUGGAGGCACCAGAACUAUUGAUGCCAAAGGGAAACUAAUUAUCCCAGGUGGCAUUGAUACCCACACUCACUUUCAACUUCCUUUCAUGGGUACUAGAGCAGCUGAUGAUUUUUAUCAUGGAACAAAGGCUGCAUUAGCUGGAGGAACUACCAUGAUAA